CCUACGGGAGGCAGCAGUGAGGAAUAUUGGACAAUGGGCGCAAGCCUGAUCCAGCCAUGCCGCGUGCAGGAAGACGGUCCUAUGGAUUGUAAACUGCUUUUAUACAGGAAGAAACACCUCUACGUGUAGAGACUUGACGGUACUGUAUGAAUAAGCAUCGGCUAACUCCGUGCCAGCAGCCGCGGUAAUACGGAGGAUGCGAGCGUUAUCCGGAAUCAUUGGGUUUAAAGGGUCCGUAGGCGGUUUAAUAAGUCAGUGGUGAAAGCCCAUCGCUCAACGAUGGAACGGCCAUUGAUACUGUUAAACUUGAAUUAUUAGGAAGUAACUAGAAUAUGUAGUGUAGCGGUGAAAUGCUUAGAGAUUACAUGGAAUACCAAUUGCGAAGGCAGGUUACUACUAAUAUAUUGACGCUGAUGGACGAAAGCGUGGGGAGCGAACAGGAUUAGAUACCCUGGUAGUCCACGCCGUAAACGAUGGAUACUAGCUGUUCGGAGCAAUCUGAGUGGCUAAGCGAAAGUGAUAAGUAUCCCACCUGGGGAGUACGUUCGCAAGAAUGAAACUCAAAUGAAUUGAGG
rnacentral:rRNA from 1 species